AGCAGAUCCUGAGGAAGACGGGUCUUGUAUGAAGAUCAAAGAGUUGUGUUUGAUAGCCAAGGAUGACUUGCCUAAAUCCACUGUGGGGGUUUUCUAAAGACCUCCACUUCCGGAUGGCUAAAUGCAUGUAGGUCUGGCGAUGGAAGUACUAGCACUUAAUUAUUAGCAUCGACCCCAUGAAUGAGAGGAAGAGAGGUCUUGCAUGAAGAUCAAAGAGUCAAGUUUGAUAGCCAAGGAUGACUUGCCUACAUCCACAGUACUGGGGUUUCAUCAACUUGCGAUCGAGAUAAGAAUGAAUGAAUAUUGCUAACUUUUAUGUAUAGCAAAAAACGUCACGAUCAUCAUCACCUGGUUUAUAGGCAGUCUCCUUUGGCUAGUCUGAAUGACUCUUAUCUUUCAUGCUAGAUCUUCAUCUUCCUUGUAUCGUGCACAUUUGGAACCAGUCGAAUUAAAUCUUUUUUUUUUA